rnacentral:rRNA from 1 species
CGCUGGCGGCAGGCCUAACACAUGCAAGUCGUACGAGAAGGUAGCUUCGGUUACUGGAGAGUGGCGCACGGGUGAGUAACGCGUGGGGACCUACCUCUUAGUGGGGGAUAACGGUUGGAAACGACCGCUAAUACCGCAUACGCCCUUUUGGGGAAAGAUUUAUCGCUAAGAGAUGGACCCGCGUUGGAUUAGCUAGUUGGCGAGGUAACGGCUCACCAAGGCAUCGAUCCAUAGCUGGUUUGAGAGGAUGAUCAGCCACACUGGGACUGAGACACGGCCCAGACUCCUACGGGAGGCAGCAGUGGGGAAUAUUGGACAAUGGGGGCAACCCUGAUCCAGCCAUGCCGCGUGAGUGAAGAAGGCCUUCGGGUUGUAAAGCUCUUUCAGAUGCGAAGAUGAUGACGGUAACAUCAGAAGAAGCCCCGGCUAAUUUCGUGCCAGCAGCCGCGGUAAUACGAAAGGGGCAAGCGUUGUUCGGAUUUACUGGGCGUAAAGGGCACGCAGGCGGUCUUGCCAGUCAGGGGUGAAAGCCCGGGGCUCAACCUCGGAACUGCCU